GAUGAACGCUGGCGGCGUGCCUAAUACAUGCAAGUCGAGCGAACAGAUAAGGAGCUUGCUCCUUUGACGUUAGCGGCGGACGGGUGAGUAACACGUGGGUAACCUACCUAUAAGACUGGGAUAACUUCGGGAAACCGGAGCUAAUACCGGAUAACAUUUGGAACCGCAUGGUUCUAAAGUGAAAGAUGGUUUUGCUAUCACUUAUAGAUGGACCCGCGCCGUAUUAGCUAGUUGGUAAGGUAACGGCUUACCAAGGCAACGAUACGUAGCCGACCUGAGAGGGUGAUAGGCCACACUGGAACUUGAACACGGUCCAGACUACAACGGGAGGCAGCAGUAGGGAAUCUUCCGAAAUGGGGGAAAGGCUGACGAAGUAACGCAGCGUGAGUGAUGAGGGGUUUCGGCUCGUAAAACUCUGUUAUUAGGGAAGAACAAACGUGUAAGUAACUGUGCACGUCUUGACGGUAACGAAUCAGAAAGCCACGGCUAACUACGUG
rnacentral:rRNA from 1 species